ACUGUUAUUGUUAAAUACUAAGGUUUCCUUGUAGCCAUGGAAACAAAAUCUAGACAUUAACGUGGAAGGGGGAGAAACCUAGUGUUUCCUUGACAACUGAUAAAAGCACAACUGCAGGAGACCUGAAGGAGAAUCUGAUGAAAGUACCUUUCACAAUCCGAUUUAACUGAAACGAGAUAAGAAAGGACACAACCCUGCCACAAAAGCCACUGUCCUGCCAAAUUUCCCUCUGAUGUACUAAAGCCAGGCUGGGAGAUCUUUCCAAAAAAAAGAGGCAAGUUCAGAUGGAGUUUUCAGAUGGAAAAUGUUCCCGGCGUGGACAAUUUCAGCAGAAUGGUAACAUUUGGCAGAAGUACAUACAGUAAGCUGAGAACAGGGUCUUAAAAUGAAAAAUGUUGGGGAUCCUCAACACUGUGCAGUGCUACCAUCUCUACUCGUAAUUAUAGACUUUGAUUUAUUACCAUUGUUUUUAUAAGUGCAGACCUGAACAUAGGCUGUCAUAAAUUUGAAUGCAGUUUAAACAAGAUUUAUUUAAAAAAUGAAGAACAUGCAAUUUAAAUUAAAAAUCCUGUUUGUGUAAAAAUCUGACUUGAAUAAAAAGAAAUACUUUUAUAAUUAAAAAUUAUUUUUAUCCA